rfam:Oryza glumipatula chromosome 5, whole genome shotgun sequence.
AAUAAGUGCAGUUGUAGAUUUCCGUGUCCAACGUUUGACCAUCCGUCUUAUUUGAUUUUUUUUAUAAUUAGUAUCUUUGUUGUAAUUAGAUGAUAAAACAUGAAUAAUACUUUAUGCGUGACUUAUUUUUAUUAUUUUUUAAUAAAAUUUCAAAUAAAACGGAUGGUCAGCGUUGAACACAUAAACUCACAACCGCACUUAAA